ACUCAAAGGAAUUGACGGGGACCCGCACAAGCGGUGGAGCAUGUGGUUUAAUUCGAUGCAACGCGAAAAACCUUACCACUCCUUGACAUGGAAAUUAUACCUAUUCGAAGGGAUAGGGUCGGUUCGGCCGGGUUUCACACAGGUGUUGCAUGGCUGUCGUCAGCUCGUGUCGUGAGAUGUUGGGUUAAGUCCCGCAACGAGCGCAACCCUCAUCCUUAGUUACCAUCAGGUAAUGCUGGGGACUUUAAGGAGACUGCCAGUGAUAAACUGGAGGAAGGUGGGGAUGAUGUCAAGUCAUCAUGGCCCUUAUGGAGUGGGCUACACACGUGCUACAAUGGUGGCUACAAUGGGCUGCAAAGUCGCGAGGCUAAGCCAAUCCCUUAAAAGCCAUCUCAGUUCGGAUUGUACUCUGCAACUCGAGUGCAUGAAGUUGGAAUCGCUAGUAAUCGUGGAUCAGCACGCCACGGUGAAUACGUUCUCGGGUCUUGUACACACUGCCCGUCACGCCAUGGGAAUUGGUUUCACUCGAAGCUAACGACCUAACCGCAAGGGGGGAGUUAUUUAAAGUGGGAUCGGUGACUGGGGUG
rnacentral:rRNA from 1 species